CGGCGUGAAGGGAUGAAGUGCCGCACGGCUCACUUCUGGCCUAAUUUUGGAUGGCAUAAGCACAAACACAGGAGGGACGGAGGAGUCAAAGUGCACCUGCCGCCGUGCUCAGCAGUGGGCGCCUUGGUCCUGCAGCAAAGGCAUUGCACCCUCCCUGCGUCCUGGGGACGCAUGAGCUGCCCCCGCAAGGGGCAAGAUGGAGAGAGCAUCUGCUGCACCGCUGAGCUCGGGAGGAGAGCGUGCUUUCCACCCUCCGAAAGUGCCACCCAGCUGCUGCGCUCUCGCAGGGCACCCACAGCACCUGCGAGCGCUGCCCUGCAGGCGCCUGAGCCCACCAUGACGCUGGGCAUCUCCCAAGGCUGGCCGCAAACGCAGGAAAAAAGAGUGCUCAGCACCGCCGGGAUUACUCAGCACCUCGCAGGACGGGGCCCCGCGCUCCUGCUGGUAUACAGAUGAAGCAGGAAGUAUUCACUGACGGUGAGGAGAACUGAAUUGCACAUGAGAAAUUGCUGCUGGCACAACUCCAGUGCCAGCAUUUACCCUGAUUUGGAGGCUGGCGAGCACAGAGAAGCUUUGUUCACGGAGAGGUGAUCACCAAGUGGUAAUGGUCUCAGACAAAUGGGGUUUCAGACUGAAUAUGGUAGCCUAGCUAGUGAAUUUCCAAUGUUUUGUUUUUGUAGAGCAUUUAAUUAAUACAAAAAUUUUCACAAAAAUCACAAAAUAUUCAUUUCUGUUUAUCACCGGACACUUAUGAGUCUCAAUCAGAUGCAUGUGGUAGGUGUUUUCACACACAGCCAAAAGCUUACAGCCUUUUAGGCCAAAAGCUUACAACCUUAACUCAAGAGUUCUAUUAUAAGGGGAAAACAUAUAAAAGUAGAAAAACGCAUCUUUAAAAGGAAGUAUCGUAAAGUCCAGGAUGACAAACCCUGAACUGGCUUGGUCAUAAAUUCAUGAUGAUCAUAUUAGACUGUUACAGAUCAGACUGAUGUAGAUGUCUUAACUGAAUUUUUAAUGUAAAAGUUUGGAUUUCUUUAACUGUAAUUGUCACCUUUAAUUUAUCCCAUUUAAUUCCUCAGUUUCAUAAUACUGAUCACAUCUUGUAAAGUCUUUCUUUUUUAUCACUAUUUUCCAAUUUAACUCUUGGGGUUUUUGUUUCUUUCUUUUUUUUUUUUUUACUUUUUUAUUUUGCUUCCCUUUCAGUCUGAUUUCUUUUUUUGGUCUAGAAGUUUAUAUAGAAGUAUAACUAUUUAUACAAUUUUAUAUUAUCCCAUGACUGUAUAAAGCAUGUAUAUACUCACUUGCGCAAGAGGCUGCAUAUAGUUUUCAGAUUUCCUAAAUGGUAGGUACAGACCCUUUCAGCUGUAGCAUGAACUUGGAACUGCAUGAGAUAACCAUGAAAACACACCCUAAUAUUGCAGUUUGAAGCAGUUUCUCAGACUUAGCCUUGCAUGAAAGUGUCCUGUGUGGGAAGUAAAAACACUUAAAUAAUCAAACUUUUUUGCUGUAGCCUUACCUUCUUGAUUAAAGGAAGCAUGUUUCUCCAGCAGUUCCCAGUCAAUCUGUCUUUCCAAAAUCAAUACUUCCUGAAAGAGCAAGCCAGCCACAGACUUUCCUAAACUGUUUUCUGGGAGGCAUCCAGGAACACAGAUUUUAAUUAUUUUAUCACUGCUAUAUGCAGACCUCAAUGGAAAGUCAAAGAGUUUUCCUAGUAGCACAUGUGUACCCAACUUGAGGCAAAUGCCAUUAGCUCUAUCAAAGCAGUGUGCAAGGAAGUCAGACCAUUAUUCCUGUUUUAACAUGAGGAACCUGAGGCACAGGAAGAUGAAACAACUUGUCUGAAAUAACUCAGCAAACCAGAGGCAGGACUUUCUCUCACCUGCUGCAUUUUAAGGUAUGUGACAAAUGGCAUAUGCCAGGGUACUUGCCUCUGAUAUGCCUUAUUUUACAUUUUUGGAGCUGGAGCCCUUGGGAAUUGCUUGCCAGGUAGGGCACACAGACAUACUUUGCAAUGCUUAUGAUAUACAGGUCUGUGGUUUAUUGCAUAUGUUUUAUGUUUUGAUGUUUUGGGAAUCUCAUUUGUAUAUCAGCAGGAUCACUGUGGUUGCUGAUAAAUUUUUUCUAGAGUACAGAUUUAUCCUGUCAGGAUUAUUUCAGGCUGCUAAACAUCCAUUUCAAUCCAAAAAAAGUUCUCCCUAACAAAAAAAAUUGCUAGGAUUAGGAACUCUGUUCAUACCAGUCUAAUUAAUAAUGCCAUGCAUUAAAUUAUCAACCCAACUGCUUGGAUAUGAAAUUGGAUGCUAAAAUCUGAAUUAGGCAGGAUUGUGUCUGAGGCAAUUUUUAAAUUUCCUCAGAAUAGAAGAUGUUUGCAGCCUAUUCAUUUCUGCUUACUGUUAUUCUUAAUAACCUUUGAUAAUAAUAAUCAUAAUGUGAUUGCUGAAUUUCUGAAGAUGUACUGAGAAAAUCUAAGAAGAUAAUAAAAAAGACAGCCUUGCACCAAAAAUAGAAAAAAAUAAACAUGACACAGGGAGUGGGAGAUGAAGAAGAAUAAUGAAGUGUGCAGAAAUGAGAAUGGUUAAAGCAACACAGUCCCAGGAUUACUCACUCUGGGAUGAUCCUUGCCUUCUCUGUCAAAUCUUCGAAAUGAGCAGCCACAGAGAAGUGUUCAGAUUCAUAGGUGUCCCGGCAAACAGUGACCUGCUACUUUUGCAACUGGUUAACAUCUCCUGAGGGCCUUCUUAUUUUCCCUAUCUGGGGUACAAUUUUCCCUUUAUCUAUAAUAUGCAACUACCAAAUUUUAUCUUUUGAUGAAGCCAAAUUCACUGACCUUAGGGUGUUCAGUGGGUCUGGACUUCGAGGCAAGUUAUAUAGCCAGCAUGAGUUCCCCGCAUGACUCCAGAUGAUGAGUCCCACUACUGAAGUUGGUGGUAAUGCUCUUGCUGUCUGUCUACUGUAAUGAACAUAGGAGCACGUCUCAGCUCUUGGGCCCAUCUGCACACCCUAGACACUCUGAGAUCCAUGUGCAAGCAUGCCACUCUCUUCUGUUUUCUGUGUCAGGCAGUCUUUUCUCCAGGUUUGAAGCCACAGAGCAUGUAUUUCUGAUAGAAAGAUAGAAAAUUCACUGGAAAAUCGCCAUGGUGGCAGCAGAUGGGAAGUGAUAUCAGAAAGCAUAUCAGCUGCUGGCCAAUAUAGUUUUCCAGACUUAUUCAAGUAACAUGGUGGAUGGACGAGAAAGUCUUAGAAGCAAAUAGCCUCUAUUCCCAUUUCUCUCAAAUAUAGAAGUUAUCUUCUAUUAUCUCCUGAGACAGAAUUAAUCCAGCCCUAAGAGCCCUGAGAGAAAAUGUCUGGUCGAUAUGGGUAUGCUUGGAAGACUUAUGGAGAGCUUACAUAUACUGUCUGCAGAUAUGCAUUUAAACUCACUACUGAACCAUCACAAGCUUCCUCACUUUUUGCCACUGUACCUCUUGGAGGAGAAGAGGAGAAAUGGACUAUUUUCUCUCACUGAGUUUACUUAGAAGAUCUUUGGUGUCUAAAAAGAAGGAACCAAAAAUGGAGUAAUAAAUAUCAAAUAAGCUAUAGAAAGCUAACAGAAGCAAGGCAGGAGCAGGAAAGAUCAGAGAACUUUGCUAGGGUGGCAAAGUUAAUACGCAAUGGCCAGUCUCACAGGUCAUCCCUUUAAACAUGAGGGUGACAGCUACCCUCAUUUCCUUUUUUGGGUUUUGCUGCCAAUUGAUGCUUUCCCUCACAGGUAUUCAGAAAGCCCCCAGUGCAGCAUCUCCCACUCCCUCCUGUAAGAACCAACAGUAUUUAGCCUUAGCCUUACGGGAACCUCGGUCUCCAUGGCAGCAGCUGCAGCUGCAUAGAAAAAGUUUCUGGGAUUGUGCAUGCUAGAUUUUGCUUUUGUUUCUGGUUCAAGAGUGUUUGUUUGUAGGGAAUGGACUGUGUCUUACUACUUAUCUUGCUUUCACCAGAGAGAGUGACUGAGAGGCCUGGUAUCAUACUUCUGAGCAGGGCUCAGGAGUGUUGGAACCGGUAAUAGGACCAGUAAUGGCCUCCCAGCAUGGGGAAUAUUUCUAAAUGCAUCCAUCCUGGACCAAAGCUUAGCCUAACUUUUACCUUAGAAUUAAACAAAAGCAGGGAGAUGCUCAGCAACUUCAACACAGUUUUUAUUUAAGUAUCCCAGAAAAUAAUCAGGUUAAUGACUUAUGUUUCAAAUUAAUGAAAGAUGGAUAUCUUGUAUUUCCAGAGAGAAUCAGCAAAGUCCUAUGAACCUUUACUGCCUUCACAGUGUGACACUGAUUUUGGAGAUGCUACUUAGGAGAUGUUUAGGUAUGAAAGCACGCUGCCUGGAAACAGGAGAACUGAGCACAGAAGACAGGCAUUAUCAAUUGGUUAGGUCUUUCAGUGCCUAGGAGUGAAACAUCAACACACAUUUAGAAAAUCUGUUCUUACUGUAUGCUUUGAUCAAUGAGUCUCAUGAGUUAUCCAGCUUACAGAUAAAGAAGAAAACCUCCAUCCUGGGGCAAAGAACAACUAUAAUCCUACGCUUCAGAGAGAAAAAAAGCGAAAACUCUCUAGAAGCUCCAGCAGCAAUAUGGAGCUACCAGAGACUGAUUCUGUGAGAGGUGAAGCCUCAACUUUGACCAAUAUUUCCAAGAUCCUAUGCCAAAUUCUUGGCCUGUAAAGUCACAUCCAAGCCUCUAGCUACGCACCUGAGAAAUGCACAUCUGCCAAACCAGCUUUAGGAAGAUAUAUGAACCAUAAGCACACUUCAGUGAAGCACUGAUUUCAGGUCAGAAGGAAGAGUGCCGCUCCAGGAAGGUAUGCAA